rnacentral:rRNA from 1 species
GACGAACGCUGGCGGCGUGCUUAACACAUGCAAGUCGAACGGAAAGGCCCUGCUUUUGUGGGGUGCUCGAGUGGCGAACGGGUGAGUAACACGUGAGUAACCUGCCCUUGACUUUGGGAUAACUUCAGGAAACUUGGGCUAAUACCGGAUAGGAGCUCCUGCUGCAUGGUGGGGGUUGGAAAGUUUCGGCGGUUGGGGAUGGACUCGCGGCUUAUCAGCUUGUUGGUGGGGUAGUGGCUUACCAAGGCUUUGACGGGUAGCCGGCCUGAGAGGGUGACCGGCCACAUUGGGACUGAGAUACGGCCCAGACUCCUACGGGAGGCAGCAGUGGGGAAUAUUGCACAAUGGGCGGAAGCCUGAUGCAGUAACGCCGCGUGCGGGAUGACGGCCUUCGGGUUGUAAACCGCUUUCGCCUGUGACGAAGCGUGAGUGACGGUAAUGGGUAAAGAAGCACCGGCUAACUACGUG